UACGUAGGGUGCGAGCGUUGUCCGGAUUUAUUGGGCGUAAAGAGCUCGUAGGCGGCUUGUCGCGUCGAAUGUGAAAUCUCAGGGCUCAACUCUGACAUUGCAUUCGAUACGGGCAGGCUAGAGUUCGGUAGGGGAGACUGGAAUUCCUGGUGUAGCGGUGAAAUGCGCAGAUAUCAGGAGGAACACCGAUGGCGAAGGCAGGUCUCUGGGCCGAUACUGACGCUGAGGAGCGAAAGCGUGGGGAGCGAACAGG
rnacentral:rRNA from 1 species